AUAAAUGUAACACUGACUCUGUGAAGGGGCUGCUGAAUAAAGCCAUGUCUCAUUUACCUGCUGUUGCUCCAGUGUUCUUCCAGCUCCAUGCCCCACAUCCACCCACUGUCCUCAGACCUCAGCUGGGGCUGCACCCCAACCGUGAGUGUGACAGAGAGAAAAUGAGUGUUAGAGAUCAUGAUCCUGAAGUGCUGAUGAGAAAUUCAGCCAGAAUGCCUCCAACUCAGGCCGAAAGUGUUAUAAGGAGUAUUAUACGAGAAAUAGGACAAGAAUGUGCAGCCCAUGGAGAGAUUGUUUCUGAAACUCUGAUUGCUUUUAUGGUGAAAGCUGUUGUCCUGAAUCCAAGUAAUGGCUUUAACAUGGAUAGAACCCUCAUGAAAAGUGAUGUGCAGAAUCUUGUUAAGCUUUGUAUGACUCGGCUAUUGGAUACUAAAAAUCCAUCCCUGGACACUAUUAAGAUGCAAGUCUACUUUGAUAUGAAUUAUACAAAUCGAGUGGAAUUUCUCGAAGAACAUCACCGGGUCCUAGAGUCUAGAUUAGGCUCUGUUACCAGAGAAAUUACAGAUAACAGAGCAUGUGCUAAAGAAGAAUUGGAAAGCCUCUACCGGAAGAUUAUUAGCUAUGUGUUACUCCGCUCUGGCCUUGGAUCCCCUACAGACAUCAAGACUGUCAGAGAGGUAACAGCUGCUCUACAAAGUGUUUUCCCUCAGGCAGAGCUUGGGACAUUUCUAACUCUUUCUAAGAAGGACAAAGAACGCCAGCUGAAAGAACUCACCAUGAUUGUUACUGGAAUUCGUUUAUUUAACAGAGACUGUGGAAAAGGAGGAGAAGGCAUUGAUGAUUUGCCAGCUGUUCUCCAUGUAGCAAUCCCAGCCACCAUGCAGCAUAUUGACUCCCAGCUUGAGACUGCCCGGAGCCAGGUAUACCGCUACACAGCCAUCCUUGAGAAGGCAGCCAACGACCCACUCAUGAGGACCGAACUUCAGCCAUAUAUGUUAAAAGAAGCGCUAUAUAAUAUACGACAAUAUGAGGUCUUCCUUCAAAUCAUUUUGUCAGAUAUAAUUACUGGUGCUCAAGAAGUGGAAAUGAUGACAAAACAGUUAGGAGCCCAUCUGGAACAACUAAAAAUGACUAUAAAAUCAAAGAUAGCGGUCCCAACAUCACAAGUCUUUCCUAUCUUCAUUGCACUUUCUACUCUGUGGACCAGCUUGCAAGACGAAACUAUUGUGAUUGGUAUCCUCAGUAAUUUAUUCACUCACAUUCAGCCAUUCUUGGGUGCUCACGAACUAUACUUCCCUGAGAGAGUGAUGCAAUGUCAUCUUAAUGGAGUGACUGUGAAAACUGAUGUGUGUAGAAUGAAAGAACACAUGGAAGAUAGAGUAAAUGUGGCAGAUUUCAGAAAACUAGAAUGGCUUUUCCCAGAAACAACAGCAAAUUUUGAUAAACUGUUAAUUCAAUAUCGGGGAUUUUGUGCUUACACGUUUGCUGCAACAGAUGGUCUUCUCCUUCCAGGAAAUCCAGCAAUUGGAAUUUUAAAAUAUAAAGAAAAAUAUUACACAUUCAAUAGUAAAGAUGCUGCAUAUUCAUUUGCAGAAAAUCCUGAACAUUAUAUUGAUAUAGUUAGAGAAAAGGCCAAAAAAAAUACAGAGUUAAUUCAGCUAUUGGAACUUCAUCAACAGUUUGAAACACUUAUUCCAUAUUCUCAGAUGAGAGAUGCUGACAAACAUUAUAUAAAACCAAUUACAAAAUGUGAAAGUAGCACACAGACGGAUACACACAUACUGCCACCAACAACUGUGAGAUCAUAUGAGUGGAAUGAAUGGGAAUUAAGAAGAAAAGCUAUAAAAUUGGCUAAUUUGCGCCAGAAAGUUACUCACUCAGUACAAACUGAUCUUAGUCACUUGAGAAGAGAAAAUUGUUCCCAGGUGUACCGUCCAAAGGACACUAGCACCCAGUCCAUGAGGGAAGACAGCACUGGGGUGCCCAGGCCUCAGAUUUACUUGGCUGGUCUUCGUGGAGGAAAGAGCGAAAUCACCAAUGAGGUCAAGGUGAACUUAACUAGAGAUGUGGAUGAAACCUAAUUACAGACAACGUUUUUAAAUAGGUGCUACUCAGUUAUGAACAAUAGCAAGUACUUAAAGAUUCCUAAACACAGAAAAGAAUGGCUGUAACCUGCAAUUUGGGCUUAUCAAGUUAAGGCUUGGAAGUAGAAUGGCCAAGUGAAUAAAAAUACCAAAUCCAAUUUGAAAAGCCAAUCUUAAUAUCAGACAGUCACCUGGUAAGUACAACUGAAUAAAGGGAGCUACAUCCAAUGGAAAACUCAUCCUCUCCCUGGACCUCCACCAUCUAUUCAAGCCCUGUCCUUCUGAAGAUUUCCAACCAUAUGCUGAAUUUAAUGUCUGAUGGUCACCCCCAUUUCAGCAGGUCACAGAUCAAAAUAACUUUCUCUGCCAAA